rnacentral:rRNA from 1 species
UACGUAGGGUGCGAGCGUUAAUCGGAAUUACUGGGCGUAAAGUGUGCGCAGGCGGCUUCGCAAGUCGAGUGUGAAAUCCCCGAGCUUAACUUGGGAAUUGCGCUCGAAACUACGGAGCUGGAGUGUGGCAGAGGAAGGUGGAAUUCCACGUGUAGCGGUGAAAUGCGUAGAGAUGUGGAGGAACACCGAUGGCGAAGGCAGCCUUCUGGGCCGAACACGUGACGCUCAUGCACAAAGCGUGGGGAGCAAACAGG